rnacentral:tRNA from 1 species
GCGGGCGUAGCUCAACUGGAUAGAGCAUCAGACUUCGGAUCUGAGGGUUGGGGGUUCGAAUCCUCCCGCCCGCGCCA